CAGGAGGGCCCCUCGGGCUGGGCCGGGGAGCAUGCGGGCCCCUCGGGCUGGGCCGGAAGGCAUGCGGGCCACUCGGGCUGGGCCGGAAGGCAUGCGGGCCACUCGGGCUGGGCCGGAAGGCAUGCGGGCCACUCGGGCUGGGCCGGAAGGCAUGCGGGCCACUCGGGCUGGGCCGGAAGGCAUGCGGGCCACUCGGGCUGGGCCGGAGGGCAGGAGGACCACUCGGGCUGGACCGGAGGGCAGGAGGACCACUCGGGCUGGACCGGAGGGCAGGAGGACCACUCGGGCUGGACCGGAGGGCAGGAGGACCACUCGGGCUGCUCCUGACAGGCCGGGCACCCUGGCAGAUCAGGGCAGGCGGGCACCUCUGGCAGAACCGGGCAUCCGGCCACUCCGGCAGUUCAGGGCAGUCCGGCCACUCCGGCAGUUCAGCGCAGUCCGGCCACUCCGGCAGUUCAGCGCAGUCCGGCCACUCCGGCAGUUCAGCGCAGUCCGGCCACUCCGGCAGUUCAGCGCAGUCCGGCCACUCCGGCAGUUCAGCGCAGUCCGGCCACUCCGGCAGUUCAGCGCAGUCCGGCCACUCCGGCGACUGUUGACUGGCGGGCAGCUCCGGCGACUGUUGACUGGCGGGCAGCUCCGACGACUGUUGACUGGCGGGCAGCUCCGACGACUGUUGACUGGCGGGCAGCUCCGACGACUGUUGACUGGCGGGCAGCUCCGACGACUGUUGACUGGCGGGCAGCUCCGACGACUGUUGACUGGCGGGCAGCUCCGACGACUGUUGACUGGCGGGCAGCUCUGA
rnacentral:lncRNA from 1 species